rnacentral:lncRNA from 1 species
GCCCGCCUCGGCCUCCCAAAGUGCUGGGAUUACAGGCGUGAGCCACCGCGCCCGGCCUCAACCAAGGUUUCUUAAUUUGGAGCCCUAGGUCCUCUGAGAGUCCUCAGAUUUUCCUCAAAAUUCAAAAGGUCCGUGAGAAUGUAACCUUGUGUUUUCAUUUUCAUAAUAUAAAUAUUAAUGCAACACAGGUGUGUCAUCUGGAUGAACAUGAGAUUCUAAUAGCUGCCUAUGUAUUUGUGUUCACAAUCAGGUGUACACCAAACGGAGGGCAAAUGCUGUUACCACUCAUCGUGCAAGACUUUUGAGGCAAUUUGGACAUAGACAAGUGAUGGGAAAAUUGAAUCAUUAUAUGGCUCAUGACAGUGUUGAAAACUCAAACAUCCAAGGACCUGUACCUUUGCUAAGUGCCAUGCAUAUGUUGCUGAUAAAGAUGCAAUAAAUACUCUUUUGUUAAAUUAUACUUAUUAUUUCUCAGUAUGGGGAGCGUGCAUUCUAAAUUGAGCAAUCUUCAGUAUUUUAAAAUGACUUUAUAAUUAAAAUAGCAAAAUAAUAAUAACAAUUACAAUUUAAAUAAUGAUUAGCAAUAAUUAAGAUUGUCAUGAGUAAAAAUAAUUAUGCCAACUCAUCUUUCUAUUAAUACACCUAGCAUUGACAAUUUAAGUUCAGCCAGUAUCUGCUUUUUAAACUGUCAUGAAUUUGAAUUGUAUUGGUUGUCACUUUGUUUAUAUAUACAUACAUAUAUCUAUAUCUAUAGAUAGUUUUUUUUUUUUUUUUUUUUGAGACAGGGUCUCAGUCUGUCACCCAGGUGGGAGUGCAGUGGCACGAUAUCGGCCCACUACAACCUCCUCCUCCUGGGCUCAAUCCAACCUCCCACCUCAGCUUCCAGAGUAGCUGGGACUAUAGGGUACGCCACCAUGCCCAGCUAAUUUUUUGAUUUUUUGUAAAGAUAAGGUCUCAUUAUGUUUCCCAAGCUUGUCUCAAGCUCCUAAGUUCAAGGGAUGCACCUACCUCGGCUUCCCAAAGUGCUAGGAUUAUAGGCGUAAGCCACCAUGCCCAGCUUAUAUUUAAUUUGCAAAUUUGUUUUCGUUUUUAUGAUUGUAUAGCACACAUGUAGUUUUAUAUUUUUACAUAUUUCAGAAAUUUUAUAAUAAAAAGUAAUAAAGGUAUGCUGAAGAUCUGCAAGAAUUUAUUUUCUUUAAAAGAGAUUUGUAUGUACCCUGGAUUACUCAAAUUCAGACAUUAAACGAGAUUAUCUCUUUCACAUUGAAAACCCUAUGAUAAGGAAACUAAUAAGUGCAGGAGACAGACGGAAGGGAUAGGAACCAAUGCUGUGUCCUCAGAUCAUUAUGAGACUUUUCAUUAUAAUCAUUAAACUAUUUUAUUUUUUGAGACAGGGUCUCACUCCAUCACCCAGGCUGGAGUGCAGUGGCAUGAUCUCAGCUUACUCCUCAACCUCCUGGGCUCAAGCAAUCCUCCCACUUCAGCCUCCCAAGUAGCUGGGACUACAGGCAUGCACCACUACACUCAGCUAAUUUUGUUUUGUUUUGUUUUAGAUGGUGUUGUUGUUGUUGUUGAUGGUGGUGGUGGUGGUGGUGGUGGUGGUGGUAGAGACAAGGAUUGAGAGUGAGUUGCUUGGGUUGGUCUCAAACUCCUGGGCUCAAAUGAUCCUCCCACCUCAGUCUCCCAAAGUGCUGGGAUUACAGGCGUGAGUCACCAUGCUCAGCCCAAACUAUUCUUUCUGUCUGCUUUCCUACAAGGAGAAAGUAAAGACAGCAGAGAUAUUCUACCUGAUCAAGAACGAAAUGCUACCAUGCAAAUUCAAAACUAUAAAGGGAAGCAUCUCACACUUUGCAUGGUUUUAUCUCAUCACUCAGAGGUCAGUAGACAGGGAAAGAGCUAGUAGUUCCCAUCUAGUCAAAUAAGGACUGUCUUGUCCGUGGAGGAUUCAUUACAAAACUGCUCUUAAUAUUUGUGAGCUACAAAGUCCACACAUCUUAGUGAAUUAACCCAGCAGUUUUGUUGUAGGAACCCAGCUGGAAAGUGUUUCUAAAUGACUGAUAGCAGCUCCUGUUUUCUUCAAGCCUAAACAAUGACAAAGAUAUUUCUUUUUAAAGUUCUGGGGAGGGUGGGAAGGGCAUGGCUUUUUAAAUGUGUAGUGUUUAUUCCUAGAUUGGCAUCCUCUUUGCCUCUAUUGAUGAGCAGCACCUCUCCCUUUUAUUUAAAUUCACUAGUUUGGUGAUCACGUGGUUCCAGAGGAGAAGGCAGAAGUGAUAGUGCAGCAGAGUCCCCACUCCUGUAACCCAUGUGCCAAGUUAUAAUCUGAUAGAUUCAUGUAAUAAUAGGUUUCUAAAUUGUGGAGUCAGACACAAAAGGUCAUCAGCAGAUGGUGAAACUGGUUGGGCCAAGCGAAGGGAAUAAGGCACCCUGAAGGGCACACUGCCUUGGACUGACGCAACAUCACAUGUGCUUUCUUCCUUCUUUUAGUCCUAACGUGAAUGGAUCUUCUCAAGUACGUGAAGUACUAGAGACCAGAGGAGGGCAUCUAACCCCAGACAGCAAAAAGACAGGAUGUCCACAGAUGCUUGGUGGGAGAGAUUGGACCAAUAACCGUGACAGUGACUCACUCCAGCAAUCUGUGCCUCUUUUGCAAACAUUUGAACUCAGAUUGAGAGACUCCAACUAAGCCACUAUGCUGGGAGCAGAGAUGGGGAAGAAUUGCUGAGUCAUGAUAAGAGAAGGCACUAUAGGAAGAAACAGUGAACUCUUAACAGCUGGGCAAGCAAUGAGUCAGCCUGGGUGGUCACUCCAGAUGCUCCCGGACACAUCCCAAUUUCUAGGAUGCCUUGCUUGUUGUUCUUGUCAUGGUCUAAACCAGCUUACCCCACUGCCACAUUUAUCCAUCAGCCUAUGGGAAAAGGGAAAAAGGAUGUGGAAGUGCCAUGUUUGUGGACAUCCCCCCACUGCCCUUCAUCCUCAGAAAGGAACAGCCUCCUGUGGGUUGACUUGGUGAUAUCUGUCCAUAGAUAAUGUCUCCAGCCCCAGGCUCAUCACUCAGACAUCUGCCCUCAGGAGGACACGUUCAUCCCCAGCACCAGAGACAUGUCUGCCAAGGCUUUUGGAACUGAUUUUAUCCCCAUGCAAAAAGCUAGAUUCUAAUUCUGUCUGAUCACAAAAGGUUGAAUCAAAGCCCUACAACUGAGGUUCAUAGACCAAAACAAGAAAUACAUGGAAAAGUUGCCAAAGGAUUUUAGAAGAUCAGAGGCUGUAAUUCAUUAUAGAUGUGGAUCCUUUUGCUUUCCUCUAAGGAAAAAAAAUAUUCAAUUUUAUUAAGAAAAAAUUCCCACUAACUGUGGCCAUGUUCAAAGCACUCACAGAAAAUAUUUUGAACGCACAGGGUUUCGCUCAAGGAAGAAUAUUCAUCAUUUCAGGGUGGGGGAAAGGAGCUGGUCAUUCAUUUUCUCUCACCUUAUCCUAACAUUUAUAGUUAAAAAGGGAUGGAUUUGUCUUUGCCUAAUCUCCAUGACAAAGCAAUUCUUGCCUGACCUCUCAAAUUCUCCCCACUCCAGAGAUUGUAUGACCAGAAGGUGGGAUCAUAAAUUCCCAAGAGAUGACAAAGGUGAAAAUGGAAUCAACAAUCACUACCUAAAUUUUCAGGCUCUGAGACACCUUCCUAAACUAUAUGAAUAAGCCACAGCAAAAUGCUUAAAUCUCUCCAGCUAUUUUUUCUUUCAUUGAUAAGUUAUAUUUCUUUUUGAAGGAAAGAAAGUAUCUACCUCAGCUCUUAUUUGUUAAAACUUACAUAACAAAGACACUACAGGUGAAAACACAGCCACCAUCACUCUAUAUUAUUUUCUAAAAUGAUUUAUAACAUAACAUUCAGCAUAGAUAACAGUAAAAGUUUAAAGAGGAUCAUGAAAUACAAAAUAAAUCCAAUUUAAUAAAGUGAAAACAAAAUCAUUGUUCUUUUGUAAAUGUUGAUCACAAAGCUUAAAAAAUGUACUUGAAAUGAAAAGCUUCAGAAAUAAAACAGUUGUACCAAAUUCAGUUUAGUAUUUUGUAUUUAGUAUGUACCAAAUAAAUUUUUAUUAAAUUAUUCAUGAUCUGUGUCACCAACAACUGUGAUGAUCAAUACACAGUCAUAUGAUCUUGGGUGAAGUCUGUGCAGCUCAACAUAAUUCAGUUAAUUCAAUACUGUAAGUGCCGCUGCUAAUUUGCCCAAAUUAUACUAUCAAUUCCUCCUUAAUUAU